rnacentral:rRNA from 1 species
UACGUAGGGUGCGAGCGUUAAUCGGAAUUACUGGGCGUAAAGCGUGCGCAGGCGGUUAUUUAAGUCAGGUGUGAAAGCCCUGGGCUUAACCUAGGAAUUGCGCUUGAGACUGGAUAGCUUGGAGUGCGGCAGAGGGAGGUGGAAUUCCACGUGUAGCAGUGAAAUGCGUAGAGAUGUGGAGGAACAUCGAUGGCGAAGGCAGCCUCCUGGGCCAGCACUGACGCUCAUGCACGAAAGCGUGGGGAGCAAACAGG